AAGUCGGGCCUGCCCACUGAGUAAUAGAAUUGCUAUAGUAUUUUAUCUAUACAAAGGUAGCAAUAAUUUGUCUUUUAAUGGGAGGCUGGUAGGAAUGGUUGGACGAAAAAUAAACUUUCUUUUAAAAUAUAUUGAAUUUUUUUUAUGUAAAAAAGCUAAAAUUUUAUUGUGGGACGAGAAGACCCUAAAGAAAUUUAUUAAUUUAUUAAAUAUUUUUACUAAGUUUAUUUUUAAUAUAUUACCAUUAUAUUAUGUUGGGGAGACAGCGAGCAGUAAUAAAGUUUUCAUCAGUCAAAGCGAAUUAUUGUAUUCAAUUGAUCCUUUUUUAAGAUCAAAAGAUAAAUUUACCAAAGGGAUUACAGCGUUAUUACUCAAGAGUUCUUAUAGAUGGAGUAGUUUGCGACCUCGAUGUUGGAUUAAAGGAAUAUUAAAGUGCAGGAGCUAUAUUAUUAAGUCUGUUCGACUUUAUAAUUCUUAC
rnacentral:rRNA from 1 species